GCCAUAUGGCGCAAAAUGCGUGUCCUGAAAAAUAUUAAAGAAAACACAUACUUUAAGAUUGUCCAUCUCUAGCUUAUUAAGAAAAGGGAAAAAAAAUAAGAGAAAGGAUUGUCCAUCAGAACGGAAUUAAAUACAAAGAUCAAUGUAUACAUUUCAUUGUUAUUAUACAUCCUUUUUUUUCCCUUAUCAAAAGAAAGAAAGGGGGAAAAAACGAAGAGUAUGAAAGCUUUCACUGUAUGGAACACCGUACAAGCAAAAACUAGAUUUUCAUUGUAGUUUACCUAGCCGCCUGAGGAAUUCAGUGCGACUUUCACUUUUCAACACAGUCCAACUCCAAUGUCAAUUAACCAUAUCGAACAGGCGUACAAAGAAGCAAU
rnacentral:misc_RNA from 1 species